rnacentral:rRNA from 1 species
UGGGGAAUUUUGGACAAUGGGCGAAAGCCUGAUCCAGCAAUGCCGCGUGUGUGAAGAAGGCCUUCGGGUUGUAAAGCACUUUUGUCCGGAAAGAAAUCCUUGGCUCUAAUACAGUCGGGGGAUGACGGUACCGGAAGAAUAAGCACCGGCUAACUACGUGCCAGCAGCCGCGGUAAUACGUAGGGUGCAAGCGUUAAUCGGAAUUACUGGGCGUAAAGCGUGCGCAGGCGGUUUGCUAAGACCGAUGUGAAAUCCCCGGGCUCAACCUGGGAACUGCAUUGGUGACUGGCAGGCUAGAGUAUGGCAGAGGGGGGUAGAAUUCCACGUGUAGCAGUGAAAUGCGUAGAGAUGUGGAGGAAUACCGAUGGCGAAGGCAGCCCCCUGGGCCAAUACUGACGCUCAUGCACGAAAGCGUGGGGAGCAAACAGGAUUAGAUACCCUGGUAGUCCACGCCCUAAACGAUGUCAACUAGUUGUUGGGGAUUCAUUUCCUAGUAACGUAGCUAACGCGUGAAGUUGACCGCCUGGGGAGUACGGUCGCAAGAUUAAAACUCAAUGAAUUGAC